rnacentral:rRNA from 1 species
UGGGGAAUAUUGCACAAUGGGCGCAAGCCUGAUGCAGCCAUGCCGCGUGUGUGAAGAAGGCCUUCGGGUUGUAAAGCACUUUCAGCGGGGAGGAAGGCGUUAAGGUUAAUAACUUCAUCGAGUGACGGUACCCGCAGAAGAAGCACCGGCUAACUCCGUGCCAGCAGCCGCGGUAAUACGGAGGGUGCAAGCGUUAAUCGGAAUUACUGGGCGUAAAGCGCACGCAGGCGGUCUGUCAAGUCGGAUGUGAAAUCUCCGGGCUCAACCUGGGAACUGCAUUCGAAACUGGCAGGCUAGAGUCUUGUAGAGGGGGGUAGAAUUCCGGGUGUAGCGGUGAAAUGCGUAGGGAUCUGGAAGAAUACCGGUGGCGAAGGCGGCCCCCUGGACAAAGACUGACGCUCAGGUACGAAAGCGUGGGAAGCAAACAGA